rnacentral:sRNA from 1 species
AAAAAGAGCGUUGAUUUAUAAUACCUUUGUGGCUUUGCAUUAUAAUUUUACUUAAAAGGGGGGGAACUUCUGCAAACCUUAGUGAAUAUGAAAGUAUGACAGCCACCUUUAACAAGUUUCUUUCUUUCAGCUGCAAUUAGAAGUGGAUCGAUUGGAAGAACUGAAAAUGCAAAACAUGAAGAAAGUGAUUGAGGCAAUUCGAGUGGAGCUGGUUCAGUACUGGGACCAGUGCUUUUAUAGCCAGGAGCAGAGACAAGCUUUUGCCCCUUUCUGUGCUGAGGACUACACAGAAAGUCUGCUCCAGCUCCACGAUGCUGAGAUUGUGCGGUUAAAAAACUACUAUGAAGUUCACAAGGAACUCUUUGAAGGUGUCCAGAAGUGGGAAGAAACCUGGAGGCUUUUCUUAGAGUUUGAGAGAAAAGCUUCAGAUCCAAAUCGAUUUACAAACCGAGGCGGAAAUCUUCUAAAAGAAGAAAAACAACGAGCCAAGCUCCAGAAAAUGCUGCCCAAGCUGGAAGAAGAGUUGAAGGCACGAAUUGAAUUGUGGGAACAGGAACAUUCAAAGGCAUUUAUGGUGAAUGGGCAGAAAUUCAUGGAGUAUGUGGCAGAACAAUGGGAGAUGCAUCGAUUGGAGAAAGAGAGAGCCAAGCAGGAAAGAGUAAGUGUGAA